UACGGGGGGGGCAAGCGUUGUUCGGAAUUCCUGGGCGUAAAGGGCUCGUCGGCGGCCAACUAAGUCAGACGUGAAAUCCCUCGGCUUAACCGGGGAACUGCGUCUGAUACUGGAUGGCUUGAGUUCGGGAGAGGGAUGUGGAAUUCCAGGUGUAGCGGUGAAAUGCGUAGAUAUGUGGAGGAAUACCGAUGGCGAAGGCAGCCCCCUGGGAUAACACUGACGCUCAUGCACGAAAGCGUGGGGAGCAAACAGG
rnacentral:rRNA from 1 species